AACAGGUUGGACAAACACCUGUCAGGGAUGUUCUAGGUUUACUUGGUCCUGUCUCAGCGCAGGGGGCUGGACUUGAUGACUUCUCAAGGUCUCUUCCAGCUCUACAUUUCUAUGAGUUUGUGAUAUUCCUUCUUAUAACCCUGGGAAAAAUCACUUGCUAAUAGUGAAAUGUACUGUAUCCUAGCAGGCUGAGGCUCUUCUGUUAGUCACCGCUAAUAUUCUCUGGUACAGCAUAACAGAAUGGUGAAUAAUUUAAAAAAACAACCCAUCCAUUGAGUCUAAAAUGGUGGUUUCACUUAAAUGUAAUGGCUGAAAUUGACAUACAAUAAUGAGUCCUAGAUUCCUGACACUAGGUCUCUGUUUUACAAAACUGAGAAAUAUGAGUUGCUGUUUACCAAGAGCCCAGUGCGCUUAUGGUAAUUGUCUGAAGUAUAGCUGUUAAAAUGUUCUGCUCAUUACACUAGUCCUCCCAGUAAAAGAACCCACAUACAUGACCCUUCUCCUCAGCAGAAGUUAAAAUCUCCAUUAUUUGACUUGUACUAACAAAAAAAUUGAUUCCAAAUAGUAUAUUGAAUGCGUUAAUGAAGGAUUUACUGCAAAAAGAGAAUAUUUCCCUGCAGCAGGGGCCGAAUAUCCAAAUAUAUUUUUGAUAAAUACAAUUUCAAAUAAAAAAGCCUUCUUAACUUAUAUUUAAAGACAUCAUUUGUUUGUUUGUUUUUCCCCUUUCUGGAAUGGUAUUUAUUCUCCACCCUCUCCAAAUCCUGUUCUCCUAUUGACUGAGUCUGCAUUGCCCUGUUUUGCAUUUGGUCAAAAAAUGCAUCAUUAGGUUUUAUUUUUUUUUCCUGUUAUGAAAUUUUUUAUCAAAAAACAUCCUCCAACCCAAUCACCCCACUCCCCAAAAACCUUUCCCUUCCUUUUUUUGAGCAAGGAACGUAAAUGUCCAUGGCAAAAGUGGUCUACUUCUAAUGAGUUAUAGCUAGGUUUCUGUGUGCUUCCAGAAAUCCAUGAGGUGCUGUCCUAAGAUGCACAGAGACACUGCUAAGCAGAAUUAUUGCUGGGAUCUUAUAUAGUGGGGGUGCGUGUUUGCUCACAUAUUUGUGCCAUUAGUUGACCAUUUGCACUAAAAGUGAUGUGGGAUUUUUAUUUUUUCUGUCUCAUAGCUUUUGUGUAAGCUUCUUGUUAAAGGAUAGUUUUCUUUGGUUCCUCCCCACAUAAUUGCAAGGCUAUCUUGCAUCUCCAUUUACAAUGUUCAUGAACAUUUAAGCCAGAUGUUACGUGUUACUCCCAAAGUCUGCUUAUGUCAGAUUGCUAAUGCUUUUUCAAUUAAAAAAAAAAAAGGUAGCUUUAAACAGGAGGAUACCCUAAAAGAACGUGAGUAAUUUGGGCACAGAUGAUAUGAAGUUCUUUGCUUCAAAACAGCCAAAGGUACAGUGUGAAUUGAGUACACUUUGUGCAGUUUACUUAAUCUCCUUGACAGUACUGUUAGUUCAUUGAUUGGAUCUCUAUCUAUAUCAACCUCUUGUUCAGAUGUCUCUUAUGCAUGUAAAUCCUUGUCUGUGAUGAUCUAUUUUUUUAAAACAAGAGUCACUUAAGCGUGAAGCAUCCAGUUAGGAAUUCACAGACUCCCGACUGGAUAGUUUUACAGGGAGAUAUCGCUAAAUGCUACCUUCUAUUUUUUUUAAACUACAUGUGUAUAUAGGAGAGCUUGUUUAUUAGACUUGUAAGUAGACAUUUAAAAUGGCCUUAAUUUAAAAAUAAAUAAAUAAACCCAUUUAGAUGCAAUUGUCAAAAACAAAAUGUGUGUGUGUGUGCGGGGUGGAGAUUAGGGACCAUCUAGUUAGGAGAAAUAUCUUUACUUUGUGUUUCUUUUCUGGAAGGUGUAAGAGAAGAGGUGGUGAUGGGAGAAGGGGAUGAUGGAUGUGUAUGAAAGAAUGUGAUUCAUCUCUCUAGCCCCAGUAGGGGGGCAGGCUAGCUGCUUUCAUUUUUAACCCUUUGAGAAUCAGAGCAGUUGUUUUAAUACAGUGUCAGUAACAUUUCAAUAGUUUCUGCACUUUGCUCCCUGGGAGAGUGGCCCAUUGAUAGCAGCAUGUGUGCCCUAUUCUAGUAGAAAAAUAUUUUCCCAUACCCUUUACAUCUGAUUUUUUUUUAACAGUUGUAUAUGAGUUUACAUUAUUUUAAACAAUAAAUGUUUAAAGUUUUCGAGUUCAGACACAGGGUGGAUCCCCCCAAUGCUUUCAGAACGUAAGUAGAUUUCUAUUUCAUUUUAAAGUUAAGUAGUACCUUUUGCAUUUUCUACUCUGCUUAUGAGGGUGGUAGAUGUGGAAAAGCAUUGGCCAUUAGAAUAAAGGAACUGAUGAUGCUUACAGAGAUACUUGUGGGAAGAGGGGAGGAAAGGACAUUGCUUGGGGAAAAAUAAGAUGAAAAAAUUGAAAGUAUUAAAUUAGAUUUAAUUGUUUUUUAAACAGUCUCAUGUCUCAAAGGGUUAAUGUCCAAACAUACCUGCUGAUGGAUUUCUGUAGAGCUAUGUUUUUAUACGAAUUUUCCACGACAGACUGUUGCAUUUGCCAAUACUUUGGGGAAGUAAUAGGAAUAAACUCUCAAUGUAUAAAGUACUGUGAUUUAAAAAGAAAAGUGGAUUUCUGCUAUUUAUUGCAGCUUAAGUGGUGGGGGGGACGGGAGAAGCUCUUUUGCAUUGUAUAUAGUACUGAUUUCUGCAUUCUCUUUAAAAAUGGAUCUGCACAGGCCAAGUUAUGGUAGGUCUGUAUGCUGCAUGCAUGGUUGAGCGCAGGCAACAUCAAACAUGUCUGUCUCACUACUGCUUUUGCAUGUUAGUGAACACUUUGCGAGCAUUCUUUAACGUGCAAAAACCUUUCCUGUACAGAGAGAACCUUUGCUUAAAAAAAAGGUGGAAAGAAAGAUGUUGACUUUUAAUUAUGGAAGAAACUAUUGAUAAUUUAUGUACCGUUUUUUGUUUUCCUUUAAAACAAAAAAAUUGUGCCUGAGAAUACUGGUGCAAACCCUCUUAACAAAGAUGGUUGCUUAAAACUUCCUGUUAGGUAAAUAGAGCCACCCGAAGUUUGUAAUAACUGGUACAGGAUUCUUUUUUAUUAAAUUCCACUUCAGCGUAAGGUAUGAAUUGUUGUUUUUCAAAAGCUCAGUUUCUGUAGGAAUGAUAUUUAAGACUUGUCCUUCCCUUAUUAGGAUAUUACUCAUUUUGGAAACCACCUCAGUGUAUAAUAUGGAAGAGGAAACCCCCCUCAUCGUACAGUUGGUUAAAAUGUACUCUGUGCUUUAAGGAUGAAAGCAUUUAUUACUUUGACAAACGGACCCCCUGUCACUGUGAUGGCAAUGUGAAAGAGCAAUUAGCAUUUAUUAUAUGUAUAUGUUCUCUUUUUAAAAAAGGAAAAACUUUGUAGUGUUCCUGUUUGUAUUUUUAGUUGCUUACUAUUUAUACUGCACAGUGUAGGCAUGGAUUGCAUGUCAGUUUUCUAUGCGGGCACCAUGAUGACAUUACGAUAACUGUGUAUUAUAAAUCAUUUUUACCUUUUUAAACAGAAUCAUUGUGUGGAAUUUCUAUACUGCAAAACAAAACACUACAUUAAGUACUAUAUUCAUUUGUGUUAUUUAUUUUUUUGUGGGUGGGAGGGGGUGGUUUUAACUGUGGUGUAUAUUGCCUUAUAUGUGGGCUUGAUCGACUUUAUCAAAAUAAAGGCAUAAAGGGGUAAAUAUGCUUUACUGUUUUAUUCAGUAAUACAAUGUGGGGCUGCCACAGAGGUAGCUGCAGAAAAGUAUAUUGUACAAGCAUAGAAUGAAAGCAAAUAUAUCGUAUAUAAGUCUUUAUAGGACAGGAAAUCCAGCUAUGUAGUAUAGAUUACAAAUAGUGAGGAGGCUUAAAGUCCUGUGAGCAAUUAAUAAUCUCCAUACAAAAACUUUUAUGCCAAUCAUUUUGUAGUGAGUAUUAUCAAAGCCCAUUCUAACCUGUUCCAGCACACCUAAUGUACAUUCUACAGUUGUUUGAAGAAACUCAAUCCAGUAAAAGUUUUGAUUUGGACACGCCCUAAGAAAUCUAUUCUCCUGCACUCUGUUGGUUGCAGGAACUUGACAAACGGUAUGGUUACCUGCCUUUGCCAGAGGUUGUUGCGUUUUCUGAGUUUGGAGUCUCAAGGAUACAUUGGAGCUGUGCAUUGUGCUGUGGGUUUCUGAAGGCUGCAGACAAGUCAGGCAAUAAGGAUUAUCACAGAACAUAAAAGGUAUAUUUUAAAAGAAGAGAGCAAGAGAACAGGAAGAACUGCUGUUUGAGGCUGUAAUUCAGUUUGUGUGUGGUCUAUAUUCGCAAAUUACAGAGCAAAAUAUUAACCAGGGGCUUGUGUAUUUAAAAACUGGACCAGAAAAUUGUCCCUAAUACAAGACUUCUGGUAAUAGUGUUCUUCCUAUGUGGUAGUUUGACCUCUCCCAAACCUUUUCAGUCUGCAUUCACUCCAUUGUGUACCAAAAGGCACCUAGCAGCCGCUACAGGAAAGGUGGUAGGUAUAGUUAGCUUGGCAGAGAUGAAUUACAAGUAACAAAUAUAAGGAGGCACGUUUAAAGCCACAGAAUUUCUCUGUUCUGUCCUCAGCUUUCAAAUGCACCUAGAAUCUAUUGGACUCCAUUGUGUUUCUUUUCCCCUUGAAGUCGCACUGCAAGAAUGUACAAAGCUCUGGGGAGAGUACACAUGAGCAAGCAGGUAGAGCAGAACCUUGGCUUGAGGGGCCCACGCCAUUGUGGUGUAAUCUAUGAUAAAGGCUGUCAUGUUUUCAGAUUUCUUUGCAAUGGAGUAGUGGAUUUUUCUUCUAAUUUUGUGUCCCUCUAAUUUUCAAUACCAAAAAAUUAGUUUACGUGCAUUUAUUGAUGCUUUCUCGACGCAAGUAGGGUGAAGAGCCUGCCUACUCGAUGCCUGGGUUCUCCUAGAUGGGCUGGGUAAUACCAGUUCGGAGGUAUGAGUCGCAGGUCCUGCAGCCUAAUAUGGUCAGUGCAAUAAAAUCAUGGAUUGAACAGUUGGUCUAUUUGUUGUGUAAGGCUGAAUUUGCGCUAAAUGUAAUCUAUAAGGGGACUUCAUAGAGCUGGACUAGUUGUGCUGCUCUGGUGGAGCAUAUUUUAGUUGUGAGCACUGGCCAUGUGUCACGAAUUACUAACAGCUGCGUGCUGUAGGUGCCUUUACUCCAGUUACUGUGGAAUAAUUGUGGUUCAUAUAUGGCUUUACUCUUGUGUUGGAUCGGGAAAGGAAUGUGCCAUUGAAUUAGUACUCGGACCACAGCUACAACAAUAUCUGCAGCAGUGUCUCUUGUCUUGGCUCCAAGAAAGGCACCUAGCAGACGCUACAGGAAAGGUGGUAGGUGUAGUUAGCUUGGCGGAGAUGAAUUACAAGUAACAACUCUCCAGGUUUGCUCAAGCUAUUACAGCCAAAUAUUGCUAACUUCUUAUGGGGGAUAUUUUUAAAGGCACGAAAGGGUAUUAGUCACCCAGCUGCCAUUGAAAGUCAGUGGGAGUUGAGUGUCCCGUUUGCAUUUGUAAAACUCCCCUUAGAUGCAUAGUGACACAGUAAUUGGGUGCUAGUAAUUAAAACCAGAGCGGUUUUUAAUGUAAAGUGUAAUAGCAAAGUUUCAUAAUGUAAAUCCCUUAACUAGAGAGCAGUCCUAUUCGUGCCAUUUACUUCUUAUGUUCCAAUGUCUGCUGAAAGGAAUGCUGGCCAUCUCCUCAGUACUAGCUUAAUUACGCUGUUGCUUUUUUCAGAUUGUACGUCAGGUAAAUGAGGGAGAGAGACGUGCAUAAAUAGAUUUGAUUUAAUUUUAGCUUGACUCUUUUUUCGCUGGAACACUGGAUUGUAUAUUAAAUAGCUACAGGAGAAUGGGACAAAUUAUGUCUUUGGAAUUUCUGACUUGUAGUUUCCACCUGCCGGAGAAUCAGACAGAUGAUGUAAUCUUAAUGUUUACUGGUAUCUCUGAAGAUCCUGUUUUCUGUUAAAUGCAUUUUAAUCUGGUACAUGGCUUAGCAUUAAUGCAGCAUCAUGAUUCAGCGGAGAAAACAUCUGUGGUGAGAUCUUCUCUGUAAAAACAAAAACAUAAAACCUUGACAUCUCUUAGCCAGUCUCCAGCAAUCUGCUGGGAAGCCACGUGUCCUGUUAAGUAGUGUGCAGGUUAGCAGUGUCAGCUGUGCUGAGCUGGCAAUAAUUGCCUUGUUUGGGGGUGUUUUGCAUUUGUUGUCAGAGUCCCAAUCCAAUUCACAGUCAUUGUCUUAAGGGCUUUUGUGUGUUCUGGCUGCAGCUGACUGUGGAGCAUCUGCACUGAGAUAUGCCCAGAUAGGGCCAGGGUACUUGCUGAACAGAUCUGCUAGAUCACUCAGUAGCGAAGCCCUUAGAUGGUAGGUAUCUGAGAGAAGAGGUUUCAAAAUAUAACAAUCCCUCUCACCCAACAAUGUGAUUGAGGGAAAUUAACAUCUCUGCUGCUGCUGCUAUUUCAAUGUCUGGUUUAUCCAGUUCCACAGCUGCAUAUUGGUCAUUUUAUGAAAGCUGUUGGCAAUUGAAAGGUUUACAUCCUCUUUUGGAAGGAAAGUUGAAUGCUGGAGAACACAGCAGAACACUGAAGCUGUUUCACUGUGAACAGAUCUGGCUUGCCCUGACUAAUGAGAACUUGCAGUAGCUAAUGUGAUAGUGGCAAAACUUUUAAUAAUUAGAACAAGAACCAAACACCUCUUCUGGAGCUAGCAACAACUAUCAGAGGACAGUGUUAACUAUUUUACUUCUUAAUUUUGCUUUCCUGCACUCAUUAUAAUUUACAAAUUUUUACUACUUUAAUGUGUUGAGGGUGUUGCAUAUUUCUUUGUAGUUAAAAUAUACAGCGAGGGGUGUGAAUCAGAGGAAGACAGCUCUAUGAACUGGCUUUAGGACAAAAACUAAUCACAAACCAGAUUAUAUGGCCAAAACAUGGUACAUACAGGAGCUGUGCAUGGGAAUAUGCCAAGGGUAGGGGUAGUCCGAGCUUCUCAAAACACUCCCUUCAAACAUUAGGAAGCUGGAGUCCAGUAAUUGCAGUCUUUGCCUUGGAGAGAGAAUGAGUUUGCAUUUUAUAAGUCUCUAAUUCUGCAGGUUUUGUUUUAAAUGAGCGCUGGAUUUUGAACGUGUGCAGUGCUUGGAAAUCUAAACUAAAACCAGCUGACUCAGAAAGCUAAUUAUCUGUUUCAAAUGGUUUAGCUCUCAACUAGCAAUUUUAGAUUUGUCUGUGCAGAGAGGAGCAUUUUUCUGAGCGGGGGUGCUGGGAUUCCUCCCUCUCCAUGAAGUAGAUGUCUCCUACACUGCCUGAUUGUAAAUCAGGAGUGGGCUGCAGAGCCUGGCACAUUAGCAUAAAUCCUCUGGAAGAACUGAGAGUGCUCAUUAUGAGUUAAAGAAGGCCUCCCACUCAUACAUCCACCUUGCCGGCUUGUCAGGCUGGGAAGUUGCUUUAUACCUAUAAAAUCUGGCAUGCAAACUUUGUGGCUAGUGGGUGUUGGAAAGUGUCAUAGUCCCAGCAAUUCCAACUCCUGUUCAGCAGAGUAUUAGUAAAUGAAGUGAAUUUGUUUAAAAAUUCUAUUUGGAAUACAGAAUCCUCUCCAUUCUGUUGUCAGCACUCUUAGAAUUGAACAGUUCUCAUCAUGGAAUCUGCUGUGGGAUAGAACAUAUGCAACACAUCUGCAGUACCCAGAAGUUAGAAAGGAUCCCAAUGCCAUGUGGGGGAUAGGAUGCUUGGAUCUGAGCUGUGAACCUUGCUGCUGUGUCCAGAGUUUCUUCCUCUCCAGCAUAGUCUAAGGCUUUUGUACAAGGCUCCUAAAAUCAGAUGUGCAAAUGUGAACAAAACCAGCUGGUGAUUAUACUGAAGAAAAUGCAGAUCUUAGAAUCACAGAAAAGAGCAAUGGUAAAGGCCUCUUGGGUUUUUCCACCCUAAGCUCCUUGGGGCAGCCGAUGUCUCAUUUUGUGCCUUGUAAGGUGCUGUGUCUGUUAUCAACUCUUAAUAGUGAGUCCCCUUUGCUAAUGCAGGAUUCUUCCCUACAUUAUGGUCGUCAGUAGCGUAAUGUAGGGACCCUACAUAGCAUAGUGCAAUAACCCUAACCUCUUCCAUUUGGAGAUUAUCUUGAAGCCAAGAAAAAGGAGAGCACUGAUUUGGGUCAUCUUGCUUUGAGACUGCUGCUAUAAAGCACCAUGCCAUGUCAGUUGAAUCAAAUACAAAUUGCUUGACUAUGAGCCUUUUAAAAAACUCACUCAUGUGGAUGUUUAAUGUUAAAAAACAUUCUCCAACAUUAUAUAUUAGAAAAGGCACACCUACUGAAUUCUGUCAAAGGGAACUCAUUUCUGCAAGCCCUAAUUAUAGAGUAAACUUGAAACAAAGCCUUUGUUUUUUUCAUAAUUGCAGUUAUGAUUUUUCAAUAUCAACAUAUAAAGCUACAGAAAAAGAUGUUUAUGGGGAAGAUGGUGGUAUGAAAGGGAAGUCUCCAUCCUACCUGUUGGUAGAGUGUCGUUUUUUACCAUGUGUAAGUUUGCUAAUGUAUGUUUUAAAAAGAUCAGCCUGAGAUGUGUGCCGAUUCAUGUGACCUUUAUUUAUUUUUAAUAAACUUGUGACACAAGUUGUUUCCUGAAAAGCUUAAAUUGUCGCAAUUGAGAGUAAAUGACAAGAGAAGUGGGUUUCCUUAGAUGGCAGGAGUUUUAUAUAUGUAAUGAAUCUUAGCUAAAUCUGUGGAAGUAGGGUCAGGCUCAUUGGCCAGUUUGAAGGCAGUCUGAUCUAUCUUGGAUCACUUUGGAAAGCAAAGUAUCAAACAAUUUACUGAAAGGCUGUUGUACCUUCUGCUGGUUUUCAUUAGAAAUGUGUCUGCUUUCAGAUGCUCCCUCUUACUGUCUUCUAAACUGUUGUAUUUAUACAAUAAAUGAAGUGUAAGGUUCAUUUGUACAUGUCCUAUGGACUAGUCAAUCCAAUCUUUUUAUACUGUGGCUUAGAAAAAAAGAUGGAAGGUGUUUCUUUUUAUAAACCUAGUAUAGGGACUCAUUCCUGCAACCGUAAUAAUGGUGUGUCAGUAUCUACAUGAGACAUUUUAGGGGCUUAUAACUUGGACACAGAAAUUAACUCUGGUUUGAAAUUUACCAGACAUGCGGAAAAUUAUUUAUUAAAAUCUGUUCUGGGUAUUUGGUAGUAAAGAAAAAGAAAACUAGUAGUUGUCUUUAUGCUUUACAUAAUGCCACAAGAGUCUCAGUUGGAGAGGAGAAGGUAGUCAGUCAUCCAGCCUAAUCAUUGGCCUAAUUGUUGGAAUCUGGAAGAAAAUUAAACAGACAUAAGGAAGAUAAGCAGGUAGAAAAAUCUUUCUUUACUUGCAGAAUAGAAGAUAAAUAUAAGUAUUGUGUAUAUAUAGUAUUUAUGGGACAAAGUAUUGAGGGAGAUAGGACUCAUUUAAACAAAUCUUUCUUUACUUACUGGAUCCUAAAUAUUUAUGGCACAAGCCUUUACAAGCCUAGAUGAUACAUGGUGGGUGGGGGUGGGGGUGUGUGUGUGUAUAAAAUACACAUCCAGAUACUGUUUGGUCAGCAUUAUAAAGCAUAGCAAUUAAAAAUACUGUAUUUCAAUCAGUUCUAAGUCAAAGAUCAGUAGAUAUUAGGGUUUUGUUUUCUUUGGGAGGGAAUUGGAAGUUGUCAUUUUUGUUUUUAUCUGAGUGGGGUCCCCAUCUUUGAUUGGAUUCCUUUAAAAGAACUGCAAAUCAAAUGCAAUAGGAAAGUACUUAUGAAGGGGAAGGUUUGAUUUCAGUAAAGUUAAAUCCAGCUGCUUCUGGCAGCUUCUCUCACAGACUGGCAGCUAAAAACAACUUCAUGUAGUUUACCGAGUUUGGGGGAAAACGUGUUGGAUUUAUGUAUUUUCAGAGACAGUAUAAUAUACUGUUCUUUACAAGCUAAACUUUUCUAUCAAAAUAACUUGUGGAUUAUUUCACUGAUAUAUGCAAAUCCUAUAUUCAGCUACAGCUUUGGUGACCCAGGAACUCUGGAGAAAUUGUCCCUGUGACAUAGAAGUUUAAUUUAUUGUGCUUUUCUGUAGGUAAAGUGGAAAACUGAAGUUGGCUUUAAGUGUUUGCAAUCUGAGAAAUGAUGUGAAAAAGCAGCUCAACUAAAUGUAUAUUCUUUUCAAUCCUUUUUUGUGUGAAGGCUUUUGUCUUUGUAUCUUUGCAUUAUUUGUAAAUGAAAUGUAAUAAAGUUCAAAUGUUUUUUCGUC